GCCAGGCAUGGUGGCAUGUGCCUGCAGUCCCAGCUACUCGGGAGGCUGAGGUGGGAGGAUCGCUUGAGCCCAGGAGUUCUGGGCUGCAGUGCACUAUGGCAAUCAGGUGUCUGCACUAAGUUCAGCAUCAAUAUGGUGACCUUCCGGGAGCGGGGAACCACCAGAUUGCCUAGGAGGUGUGAAUCAGCCCAGGUCGGAAACGGAGCAGGUCGAAAAAGACACCAUAGAAAGACUGCUCUUGAAUUAUUUUGGAAGAAACAAUACCAAGUUGUUCUCUGCAGUAAAAUUUCAGGGCUUCAAAUCUUGGAUCCACAUCUCUU
ensembl:misc_RNA Metazoa_SRP Metazoan signal recognition particle RNA